AUACGGAGGAUCCGAGCGUUAUCCGGAUUUAUUGGGUUUAAAGGGUGCGCAGGCGGCCAUUUAAGUCAGCGGUUAAAUCGUGGGGCUCAACCCCAUUCUGCCGUUGAUACUGGGUGGCUUGAUUGCGGUCGAGGUUGGCGGAGUUCGUUGUGUAGCGGUGAAAUGCAUAGAUAUGACGAAGAACACCGAUUGCGUAGGCAGCUGACCAGAUCGCAAAUGACGCUCAUGCACGAAAGUGCGGGGAUCGAACAGGAUUAGAUACCCUGGUAGUCCGCACAGUAAACGAUGAAUACUUGUUUUCGGCGAUAUAAUGUCGGAGGCAAAGCGAAAGCGAUAAGUAUUCCACCUGGGGAGUACGCCGGCAACGGUGAAACUCAAAUGAAUUGACGGGG
rnacentral:rRNA from 1 species